rnacentral:vault_RNA from 1 species
GGGCUGGCUUUAGCUCAAUUUGAAUACAAUGCUUGCCAAUCACUCUUGCCCACCUGCAUAAGAGUUGGAUCGAGACUCGUGGGCGCUUUCCAGCCCUUUA